GUGAACUCAUGUGUUUUGCCCAUAGUCACCACGCUGGGCAGGCGGGUUGGUGACAGCAGUACUGGCUUUGUCGUACCGAAGACGCUGCUGCCCGUCUUCGGCCUGUGUAUUUCAAAGCCAGCAGUUGGAUGGUUAUCCCGCCAUCGGUCGGCUUCUUAAGUUCCAAGAUGGUAGUGGAACUGUGUUAUCCCUUAGUCGCCUCUUACGACACCCACGGGA
rnacentral:misc_RNA from 1 species